AAAAUUUUUCCAAAAGAAAAAAAAUCUGUUCUUAUCAGUUUAAUAUCUGAUACGUCCCCUACCCGGGGACCAUAUAUUAAAUUGAUUUUUGGAGCAGGGAGAUGGAAUAGGGGCUUGCUCCGUCCACUCCACGCAUCGACCUGGUAUUGCAGUAUUUCUAGGAACGGUGCACCCCCU
ensembl:snRNA U2 U2 spliceosomal RNA